rnacentral:rRNA from 1 species
CAAGCCUAACACAUGCAAGUCGAACGGCAGCACAGAGGAGCUUGCUCCUUGGGUGGCGAGUGGCGGACGGGUGAGGAAUACAUCGGAAUCUACUCUGUCGUGGGGGAUAACGUAGGAAACUUACGCUAAUACCGCAUACGACCUACGGGUGAAAUGCAGUGGUGAUCUUCGGACCUUGCGCGAUUGAAUGAGCCGAUGUCGGAUUAGCUAGUUGGCUGGGGUAAAGGCCCACCAAGGCGACGAUCCUGUAGCUGGUCUGAGAGGAUGAUCAGCCACACUGGAACUGAGACACGUGUCCAGACUCCUACGGGAGUGCAGCAGUGGGGAAUAUUUGGACAAUGGGCGCAAGCCUGAUCCAGCCAUACCGCGUGGGUGAAGAAGGCCUUCGGNGUUGUAAAGCCCUUUAUGUUGGGAAAGAAAUCCAGCUGGCUAAUACCCGGUUGGGAUGACGGUACCCAAAGAAUAAGCACCGACUAACUUCGUUGCCAG